rnacentral:rRNA from 1 species
AUUGAACGCUGGCGGCAGGCCUAACACAUGCAAGUCGAGCGAGGUAGCAAUACCUAGCGGCGGACGGGUGAGUAACGCGUGGGAACGUACCCUUUGCUACGGAAUAGCCCCGGGAAACUGGGAGUAAUACCGUAUGUGCCCUUCGGGGAAGAUUAUCGGCAAAGGAUCGGCCCGCGUUGGAUUAGGUAGUUGGUGGGGUAAUGGCCUACCAAGCCGACGAUCCAUAGCUGGUUUGAGAGGAUGAUCAGCCACACUGGGACUGAGACACGGCCCAGACUCCUACGGGAGGCAGCAGUGGGGAAUCUUAGACAAUGGGCGCAAGCCUGAUCUAGCCAUGCCGCGUGAGUGAUGAAGGCCUUAGGGGUUGUAAAAGCUCUUUCUAGAUGGGAAGAUAAUGACGGUACCAUCAGAAGAAGACCCCGGCUAACUCCGUGCCAGCAGCCGCGGUAAUGUACAGU